rnacentral:rRNA from 1 species
GUGAGGAAUAUUGCGCAAUGGGGGCAACCCUGACGCAGCGACGCCGCGUGAGCGAGGAAGGCCUUCGGGUCGUAAAGCUCUGUCAAGAGGAAAGAAGUGCAUGGCGGUUAAUACCCGUCAUGUUUGACGGUACCUCUAAAGGAAGCACCGGCUAACUCCGUGCCAGCAGCCGCGGUAAUACGGAGGGUGCAAGCGUUGUUCGGAAUCACUGGGCGUAAAGGGCGCGCAGGCGGUUUGAUAAGUCAGAUGUGAAAGCCCACGGCUUAACUGUGGAAGUGCAUUUGAAACUGUCAGACUUGAGUACCAGAGGGGAAAGUGGAAUUCCCGGUGUAGAGGUGAAAUUCGUAGAUAUCGGGAGGAAUACCGGUGGCGAAGGCGACUUUCUGGCUGAGUACUGACGCUGAGGCGCGAAAGCGUGGGGAGCAAACAGGAUUAGAUACCCGAGUAGUCC